GAUGAACGCUGGCGGCGUGCCUAAUACAUGCGAGUCGAGCGAACGGACGAGAAGCUUGCUUCUCUGAUGUUAGCGGCGGACGGGUGAGUAACACGUGGAUAACCUACCUAUAAGACUGGGAUAACUUCGGGAAACCGGUGCUAAUACCGGAUGAUAUUUUGAACCGCAUGGUUCAAAAGUGAAAGACGGUCUUGCUGUCACUUAUAGAUGGAUCCGCGCUGCAUUAGCUAGUUGGUAAGGUAACGGCUUACCAAGGCAACGAUGCAUAGCCGACCUGAGAGGGUGAUCGGCCACACUGGAACUGAGACACGGUCCAGACUCCUACGGGAGGCAGCAGUAGGGAAUCUUCCGCAAUGGGCGAAAGCCUGACGGAGCAACGCCGCGUGAGUGAUGAAGGUCUUCGGAUCGUAAAACUCUGUUAUUAGGGAAGAACAUAUGUGUAAGUAACUGUGCACAUCUUGACGGUACCUAAUCAGAAAGCCACGGCUAACUACGUG
rnacentral:rRNA from 1 species